UACGGGGGGUGCAAGCGUUGUUCGGAUUUAUUGGGCGUAAAGCGCGUGUAGGCGGUUUGGUAAGUCUGAUGUGAAAGCCCCGGGCUCAACCUGGGAAUGGCGGUUGAAACUAGUCGACUCGAAUCUGGCAGAGGGGGGUGGAAUUCCACGUGUAGCAGUGAAAUGCGUAGAGAUGUGGAGGAACACCGAUGGCGAAGGCAGCCCCCUGGGCUGAGAUUGACGCUCAGGCACGAAAGCCAGGGGAGCGAACGGG
rnacentral:rRNA from 1 species